ACUGCGGAUAGGCCGGCCAGCCGAAAGCGCGCGUCCUGGGCGCGUUUCCGCAGUCCCUCACACCCAGG
rnacentral:ncRNA from 23 species